UAGUCAUAAAUCAUGUUAACUAGAAGGAGUAAUCUAAUGUUUCUGUUUCUAUUUACAUUAAUGUUGUUCGUAAGUUUCAGUUUUUCAAAAAAUAUUCACACAUGAUGUGGUGGAGCCUCGCCCACAGAUGCAAACAGGUUAUCACUUGCACUUGUCUUUUGAGCUCAGUUGAGUCGCAUCUCAGACACAGAAGGAAGACACUCCCAAAGCUGACGUGAAAAUUUAGCUGCAGUCAGAUUGAUCUCAUCAGUGCACCAGGACUGAACUUAAAAUGGGAACUCCUGCCAAAGAGAGACCCAGGCCAGAGAAUGCUAUCACUAUCGCCGUGUCGUCACGACUCCUCUUCAACAUGGAGGAGCAGCAGCCUUUCAGCCCCGGACCUGCCUUCUCCUUUGUCAAGG